CCGCUGGACAGUCGUGGGACUGAAACUUGGAGACAGUCUUGCUCUGUCCCCCAGGCUGGAGUGCAGGGGCACCAUCUGUAGCGCUUGAAAAAGCCUCUGAGGCCCCCUGGAUCGCCUGGUCCGAGGCCUGGGUUGUGUUUGCAGAGCCUGGCGAUCCUGCAUCCUGUGGUCAAGCUUUAUCGAGGCAUCAUACGGGGUUUCACCAUGUUAGCCAGGAUAGUGCUCCUGACCUCAGGUGAUCCACCUGCCUCAGCUUCCCAAAGUGUUGGGAUUACAGGCGCAAGCCACUGUGCC
rnacentral:lncRNA from 1 species